rnacentral:rRNA from 1 species
AGUGGCGUACGGGUGAGUAACACGUGGGUAAUCUACCUUUUAGUGGGGAAUAACCGGGGGAAACCCUGGCUAAUACCGCAUAAUCCUGAGAAGGGAAAGCAGCAAUGCGCUGAAAGAGGAGCCCGCGGCCGAUUAGCUAGUUGGCAGGGUAAGAGCCUACCAAGGCAGAGAUCGGUAGCCGGCCUGAGAGGGCACACGGCCACACUGGCACUGAAACACGGGCCAGACUCCUACGGGAGGCAGCAGUGGGGAAUCUUGCACAAUGGGGGAAACCCUGAUGCAGCGACGCCGCGUGAGCGAUGAAGCCCUUCGGGGUGUAAAGCUCUUUCGUCAGGGAAGAUAAUGACGGUACCUGGAGAAGCAGCUGCGGCUAACUACGUGCCAGCAGCCGCGGUAAUACGUAGGCAGCAAGCGUUGUUCGGAGUUACUGGGCGUAAAGGGUGUGUAGGCGGUUCUUUAAGUUUGGUGUGAAAUCUCCCGGCUCAACUGGGAGGGUGCGCCGAAUACUGAGGGACUAGAGUACGGGAGAGGAAAGUGGAAUUCCUGGUGUAGCGGUGAAAUGCGUAGAUAUCAGGAGGAACACCGGUGGUGUAGACGGCUUUCUGGACCGACACUGACGCUGAGACACGAAAGCGUGGGUAGCAAACAGGAUUAGAUACCCUGGUAGUCCACGCCCU